UACGUAGGUGGCAAGCGUUUGUCCGGAUUUACUAGGCGUAAAGAGCGCGCAGGCGGUCGGAUAAGUCGAAUGUGAAAGCCCCCGGCUCAACUGGGGAGGGUCAUUCGAUACUGUUCGACUCGAAGGCAGGAGAGGGAAGUGGAAUUCCCGGUGUAGUGGUGAAAUGCGUAGAUAUCAUGAGGAAUACCAGAGGCGAAGGCGGCUACCUGGACAAUUGCUGACGCUCAGGCACGAAAGCGUGGGGAGCAAAAGGG
rnacentral:rRNA from 1 species